CGUUUGGUUGGGGGGAUUGCAUGCGUAUUCCCCCCUAUGCAGCGGGCCCACAGGUAAACGGGCGUUUGGUUCGCUGUUACCCCAAUCCGUGUGUAAUCGGUUACCCCCCUAAAGCCUUUAUUGCGCGUAUUAGGUAAUACGGCCCCUCAUCCCCGAUUGCCUAAUCGGUGUUUUCCCAUUUUCCUAUUCCGUUUUUUGCCCUCGUCCUCAACCUUCUGAUUCUCCGACGCCUCCUUGCACAGACACCUUCUUCAUCGCACUCUUCCCCGAUUUGCUGUCACCGGGUUGUUGUUCAUCGUUUUGAGUUCCCCGAUUUCCCUGGUUACAGGUUAGUUUUCCUUUUUUUUCAAAUUCUUUAUUUUUUGUUGCGUCUUGGUAUGUUUGGAACUCAAAACUAUAUUUACGCCCCCCAUUACUACUUCUAAUCCCCAAACAAUUGAAGAUAUCCUCCCCAAGUAAAACUCCUCUACGAUUUGUGAGGAGAAACUUGAGGGGACGAAUCUGCUCUCCCUUGCUAUUCCUUCUUAACUGCUUUUGAUCUUUUGUUUUUGUUCUUUGGCAUGCUAAUGAGCUUUAUGAUUGUUUAGUUGUUGUUUGGCAAUCUUAAUCUGCUCAAAUUCCAAACAAAUAUUAUUUGCGUAAUUUUAGUUGUUCUUGUG